CCAGAGAACUUAGCAGAGAUGCUUUGGUGCCUUCGGGAACUCUGAGACAGGUGCUGCAUGGCUGUCGUCAGCUCGUGUUGUGAAAUGUUGGGUUAAGUCCCGCAACGAGCGCAACCCUUAUCCCUUUGUUGCCAGCGGCUCGGCCGGGAACUCAAAGGAGACUGCCGGUGAUAAACCGGAGGAAGGUGGGGAUGACGUCAAGUCAUCAUGGCCCUUACGGCCAGGGCUACACACGUGCUACAAUGGCGCAUACAAAGAGAAGCGACCUCGCGAGAGCAAGCGGACCUCAUAAAGUGCGUCGUAGUCCGGAUUGGAGUCUGCAACUCGACUCCAUGAAGUCGGAAUCGCUAGUAAUCGUAGAUCAGAAUGCUACGGUGAAUACGUUCCCGGGCCUUGUACACACCGCCCGUCACACCAUGGGAGUGGGUUGCAAAAGAAGUAGGUAGCUUAACCUUCGGGAGGGCGCUUACCACUUUGUGAUUCAUGACUGGGGUGAAGUCGUAACAAGGUAGGCGUAGCGAG
rnacentral:rRNA from 1 species